GGGAGCACCGCUUGGUGUUGUCAGUGGCCGGGAGGCCGCGGCGUCGGUUCCGAGGCUGAGGGGCUGCCGCGGCCGGGAGCGCUCCCCGGCCGCUCCCGCUCGGUUUGAAAAGCAAGAGCUGGAUCUCAGAAGAUGACUACUUCUACCGGAGAUCGCUUCGGAUUGUCCCGUAGCUUCUUCCAGAGGCAAGGCCCGGUCUCCACAGGCAUUUUUCUCAAGGACCAAGAAAAAGCUGCUCCCUGGGGGCACUAGACAAAGCGUGUGCGUCUUCCCCGGGAAGCAGGCAAAGCCAGGCGCCCCGGCGCAGGAGCACAGGAACUUCUGGGUGGUGCCCGGGAGGCAGAUGGGUAGGUGACUCUCAGGUUCCAGGUGGGCCCCAUCUGCAGGGACUGUGCCUUUCAGAAAGCAGCUCUAAAGUCCUGUUUUCCACGACCAAAUGGGCGAUGUGUUCUCACAAGAAAAACCUCAUCCCAGAAUGUGUUCAUGAGAAGCAUUCAUGCUCAGUAAUUCAGGAAGGCACUUCAGGAAAAAUACUGUAUUUUCUUAUAAAAUCUUAAUAAAAUAAUGCUCAAAACUGUC